GGUGAUUCCCUGGGUAAGGAGUCUGUGCCGUGCCCUGAGCUGCCGUGGAGCAGGUGAAGGUCAGAGAAGGCAGCUGGGAGACGUGCUGCCUCUUUUGGCCCUCUCCUGCCGCUGUGCCAACCUCUGCCACGCUGGGAAGGCAAAAUCAGGAGGUGGUUGCAGGGAGCCCGCUAAGCCCAAAGAGCAGUGUCUGUUGACCUGCUGGAAACCAGUAAUUCUCAACUAGAAUAACACAAAGCCUAAGGUUUCAAGCGUGCUCUGUUUUUACAGCACGCUUUCCCUGUGAAAAACGACUGAAAUCAACCUGAGAUGCCUGUGUCUGUUGUGUCUCGGUGAUUCCCAACGCACAGGACAGUCCAGAUUUUUCUCUCCGGUGACUGUCCUCAAUUCUUCACCGACUCCAGCGGAGCUUCAGCAAACUGAAUUAGCUGGCUGGAAACAAUCUCUAUUGUCUGCGCCGCCCUCGCAGCUUGUUAUGGCAAUUACGGAAUACCCGUUCUUCCCUAGUUUUAAAAUGGCUGGAAGGUAAUCAUCUAUUCUGUAGGUUGUGCACAGCAAGGAACUGACCUGGAGAUACUCCUCUGUGCCUGAACUGCGUUGCCGGAAAAAAGAAUGGUGCAUAAAUGAGAAGUGAAACACGCAGGAAUAGACUUGUUAUGUAAAACAUAAACCACUCAAGAUGAUUUUUGCUGCAUAAGGACUUCAUCUGACAUGCCCGGUGAGUGGUGUGUGUCCUUCAUAGCAGCAGGUCUACCUGAGGGACAGGAGCCCUGCGUUAGCAGCCGCUCAAAAGGAGAUCGUCUCCGCAAACAUCAGGAAAAGCAAGUACAUUUUAUACACAGGGCUCUAAUGCUCCUCUUGGGCCAGAGGUAAGGGAGAACCCUCUUCACUGCUAUUAACAAUAAUUUACUUUGGAUGGAGCAACUACCGAGAUGGCUGCUGCGCAUUUAGUGGUGCUAAACCUCUCAGGCUAGCUACCCACAGAAGCUGAUGGGUUGCCUUAGUACCUAAACCAGUUUCUGUGGCGUAGUGCUCCACAUACUGCAGCCACCUUGCAGCUCUCCAGCUUUAUCCCCAUCCACUUUUUGCUCACGCCCUGUCUGCUGGAUGCCCUGCGGCCGCUGGGGCCAGCCCAGUGCGUGGCUCCAGGCACACAGGGAGCCCCUGCAAUGCCCUGGCCCCAGGGCAGCCCACGGUGUAGAAAAGCAGUUUUUUAAGGAGGAAAAACAUGCACGUUUUAAAUGCAGAGCCACGAUUUCGCUGGCAACCUGCAAGGCUGCAAAAGUGGCUUUGCAGCCUGAGAGCCUGCUUAGCAUUUAAACCGGUUUGUCUCUGGAGCUUAAUGAAUCUCUUCCCUUUUCACGCAUGUAACACUACACACCCUUUAAAAACAGAGAAAGAAAGCUCUGUGCCGAAAAUAUUUUAGGAGUCUCCCUUGCUAGGACAGGACUCCAAAUUCCCAGUAAGCGCUCUGAGUACCCGAGCCAGCAACCAGGCAGAAAGCAGGGAGGAGCAGGACCCUUCCCUGCUGGAGGGAAGGGAAGGCUUUGUGCUUUAUUUUUGAGUGCUGACCUAAAAAGCUGAUUUUCCAUCCGCCCCCCACCCUGGACCGUGCAAGGAGCCAGGUAGGAGCAGAGCAAGGGGAACAGCUGGCUGCUAGAGCUGUUCAGCCUCUAACAAGAGAAAGAUCCAAUGUGACUACCAGAGACGGCAGAAAGCCCAUCGGAGUGCUCGCAGGUGCAAGGAAGAAAUGUGCUUUUCCUGCUAUUAUUGUCAGGCUGGAGCACGGCUUAACCCCCUCUCUGCCUCCUGCUGCAGCCACGGCGCCAUCGGGGAGGCAAAGGCAGGGGACAAGGAACCCCCAGCCGUGGGGCUCGCUCUGAUCCCCUUUUUGGUGAGGAGCGACUGGGAAGAGCAAAGCCCGCAGGACAUCAACCAUGUCAGCACCCAACGCUGGUAGGGACACCAGCCAGCUUUCCAAAACCGGUCGCAGCGCUGGGACACUCUUCCCACCCUCCCUUAGAUAAAUAAAUCUAAAAAACUAAAAUCAAAGGGAUCGGACCGGCGGGAGUAGCAAAACCAUGGCUGCGGUGCCGUCCUGUAAAUAAUCUGUGAGACUGGGCCAAAGAGUAAAGGCUGUGCAGAGCUUCUAAUUUGAGGCAAGAUCAACAACGCUGCAAAACAGUUUGUUUUUCCAGCGCUCAUUUGUUUUGUUUGCCAAUGACAUCAGUGCUUUUCUGAUAGGGUUUGCUUCCUGAGGAUGCCUGCUAUCUUGCCAGGGUUUCCGACUUGUCCCCGUCAGCCGGUACAGCUCCGCAUUAAGCUGCAAACAGGGGCCAAGCUUUUCUCUGGAAACUUCUCCACGGCGCUGUCAGAUGGAGAGGAGCGAGCGCGGGCUGAGCUGCGGAAAUCUGCGUGGCCCCCGCGUGCACAAACACAAUGGGGCCAAUGGGGACCCGCAGCCCCGGGAGCUGGAUACAAUAGGAGAAAGGCCAUCGGAGCACCUCGUCGCAGGGACGGUCUGUCCGAGAGCACGGAUCCCAUUGCUGCUCUGCAGAAAAGCCCCAAAGUCUCCUGAAAGUCCCUGAAGAAAUCUGGUGCUCGGCUUUCCUCUGCGCUGCUCUCACAGCCCGUUCCUGGUAGGGGAAUCGCACUGAUUUCCGCUGGUGCUCUGCCUCUCUCUGCAGGUUUGCUGAGUGGCAGGGGUUCCCCAGCCUUAUUUUUGGGGGUGCCACCACCACCACUGCUGGCAGUGAUGGCCCAAUGUCAACACCUGCAGCAGUGGCAACUGCAGCUCUUACCCCUGGGCUCCAAAAGGGCUCGUGUGCCACUAGGUCCUCUGUACGGCAUUCAGGGCAGGCUCUCGGCGUGCUCCUUCGCUUGGUGCUGAUCCUGGGGGAGCACCCACGCAGCUCAGCGGGAUGCCAGAAGUGACAGGGAACUGGCACCGAGCUGGCUGCCCUCUGUUACACCUCUCCCUCCCUCUGUUACUUAAAGUGGAAGGUGGCAACCCUCAAACUGUUCAAACACGACCCCUGGAAGUCCUUCUUGCACACAACUCCCCCUGCCCACCUCUGCGUAACUAUUUAUAACAUUUUGCGAGCAGUUCUGUACAACUUGACAGAAAGGAAAACAACAAAGGAGCAUUAUUCACAUUGCAAAACGAAGCACGCAACCAUCACGUAUUGCCAAAAUCGAGGCACCCUGCACGGACAAACGACUUGCUGCAGUCUGUGAUUACGUGCCUUCAGGCUACUGAAGUCUGCAGGACUCCUGCCUCUUGUGAUGCAGGGGGCAGGUGAUGCUAGUCUUCACAGGCUUUAUCUACAGCAGCUAUCCAGACACUGCUCUGAAGACGGAGUUACUAACAGGCACCUGAAUUACAAAGUGUAUUAUCUAGACGGGUCGCACAUUAAGCUAGCUUAUCUUCACUCACUUCUGUGAGAGUGCGCAGUGACAUUAUUCUCAUUUUAUAUCAGACACGUGCCAGACAGAAGUAUUUAUGUAGACAGACUAAAGUGAAAACAGCCCUCUCUGUUCUAGGAGCCUAGUCUGAAGUGUCUGCAACCAGAUUUUUCUGAAGCACAGUGUUAAAACUGAACGAGGUAUGUUGAAAGCAACUGCUGCAAGAGCCCAGGGGUCUGCAAGUCGUGCCAUGUGUGGCAAGCCAAGUGCCCACACAAUGAAGACAUGGGGUGACCCAAGAAGUUAGUUGCAGUAAUUUGCCUAAUUCCAUCCCUCUGUCCACCUAAUCCAGUACCAACACUUUCGCACAGGCAGCCUGCAUCUCCCUCCCACCCCAUGAGUUUCUUACCUCUCUGCACACCGGUGCCUUCAUUCCCAGUUCCUUGGGAAACCGAGGAAAAGUUUCCCUGGGCAAGGCUUGGGCUAUGCAGGCACACUCUGCUCAUACAUCCAUAGGAGCAACGAGGGCACCAGCACUGUCCCUGCACCAAAAGCUGUGAGAUGCUGAUGGAUGUGAAGAAAAAACCUUGGGAAAACGGAGCGGCUGGAAUCAGAGACAGGUCUGCCGAGAACACACGCAGACGUCUCCGAGCCUCGUAACCAUAGAUCCCGUUCCUGAGAGUGAUGGCACCACAGCUCUCAACCAAGAGGCUGGAAGAGUCGGUAGCGUAGUGACUAGGGGGAAAAUACAGAAGUUGCGCAUUGGAAGGAGGAAAACUUUUGAUGGAUGCAUGUGACAGUUUUAUAUGCAAAACAGGCAGGUGCAAAGCACCACGCUGAAGAAGGAAGAUGUGUAACUGCAAAAUGGAGCGGUGCAGCAGAAGGGUCUCGGGGCCUAGAGCCACACAGAGAAAAGGCAUCAAGAAUAGUGCAGGCCUUGGCACCCAGAGGGGCCUACACUCACACGAACAACGCCGCUGCACCUCCACCAGGAGCCACACGCAGGUGAGGAGGACCAGCACGCAGCUCUUUGGGAGGUAAAGUCCCAAAACGAGCACAAGGCACAAGAAACACCACACGCUGAAGGAGCCUGCGCACAGAAGAGGCAGCAGAUGGCCCGAGCGGAGGCACAAGGACGGGUCCCAACCAGAGGACUGGGAUCAGAUCUGGACACACACCAGGCUGAGCUUCAAGGCAGUUCCCACUACAGCCAACACCACACCAAGGGUUUCAAAGCCACUCGUGCUAAAUGCAUAAUCAGCUCUGCUGACCACACGUGAAGACGUGCCAGAGUCAUUGCUGGAAGAUAAUUCAGUGUUAUGGCAGCUCCACAUGCCUUCCCAGCCUAACCCAGCGCUGACUGAGCAUUCAUUUGCUGAGGCUCCGAAGCAUCCGAAGAGAAAUAAAGGCAUAAACGGGGAGAGGAAACGUCCAGGCACGCACAGACACCACUGCUCGCGUUAGCUGGUUUUCAAAAUGUCAACGGCUCGCUCCCACCGACGACAGAGCAGCACAUUGCUGCACUGAAAUCCGUCCAGAUUUUCUUCAGAGAGGGAGCAAUUGUUAAGGAGCGCUCGCUGCUACUCUGCACAGCAGAUAUAACGAGUUCUUAGACCAAUUGGCAGCAUAUGGUAUAUUUCCCCAAAUGACAGCUUUUGUUUGUCGCAAGAAGAGAACAAAAUAGUACAUUUAUUAAACAAAGCGUAAUUAGCUAACUCUUUCCCUCCCCAAAAGGAGCUAUAGAGAAUAUUGUUUAGAACCCAGAUGAAUGUUUCCAUGCUGUUAUGACACUUCUGUACGGAGAGAUCCAUCGGGGUUGUGCUAGAACAAAGCAAAUGCAAUCACAUUUGUUGUUCACAUCUUAAAAUCAGGAUGCUAAGGGCUAAUCAUCUCACCUCAAAUACCUGUGGGCAAAGUGCUAAUAAGCAACACCCACACUAAGACUGCAUGAGUGAGCUUUUUUUGUUUUUUUUGUAAUUGUUUUUUUUAACAGAAACACUCUCAUUUGUACAAACAAAACAAAACAAAACAAAAGGAUGUCAAUAAUAACUAUUAAAUACUUAAAAGUACAAAUUUCUAAUAAGGGAUCCAUCACGAGGCUGAAUUUCUUUGAGGUGACGGUGACAUGACUUAUAGAGCCUGGGCUUCGUGAUCAAAAGGAUUACGCACAUUAGCAUCCUACUAAUCACAGCAGGACGGGCCGGCCCAUCAGGCCAGGGCUCACGGAGGAGCGAUCCGUAAACAAACACUUUCUCCCGCUCACAAAUGCGGCUGGGAGCGGAGGCGCUCCGAGCUUGGCAUGGUCUUCUCCUCUUUCAAAGAGAUAAGGAUUGUGUCUGCUGGGGUAAAUAAAUUCUCAGCGUAGCCUUACACGUCUGUUUGUUUACUCAUUUUCAGACAUUACCAUCCUCUCCUGUGCUGUUAUCCCUUUUAUAUUACCCUUGUAUGUAUAAUUGAGUGCCCUCUCUUCUGGAUUGACCCUCUGCUUCUUCCUGUAUUAUAGACGUCUUUGAUCUUCCUUUCUUGCGUCUGUGUGUCCUGCCUUGUAGUCUCAGCAGGAUUUCCCCCCGACCCCUUGCACUACCAGAAAAUAAAAGCCAAAGUAGCACUUGAGAGCAUUAGUGUAGAAAAAAGUAAGACAGGCACCUCUCCUGCGCACCGGUAGGGUACGUACAUAGGGGUGAAAGGCAGCACAGCUCCUGAGCACAGAGGAGCCCCAAGGACCAAGAAGGCCAGCAGCAAGCAGCGUGAUGAGGGAAGAGGAACUAUCCUAAAGUUUCAGAAAUGGCUGGUAAAUUUUCCCUUCCGUUGCCCUACCAUUUGAGAUGGUCCAAGUUAUGGCUGACGACUUCUAUUAAUAUCCCAGCUGCAAUACACUUGGGCGACAAAGAGUCUGCUGCCCGUUUCUGUUCUCUGCAGGCACUGCCAAUACCAAAAGAACUGCGGGUUAUCUCUGCGUAGAUGUGAAAAGAUGCCAUCAGUUCACAGAGAGACCUUAACGACCACAUCAAGACCACUGGAAGGCUGACCAGCCCCUUCCUUUGUCGCUGGAACCGGUGAGUAAGCUUCCCCAGCAAGCCCCAGUCCACUGGCUCUUAAAACAAAGCACAAUAACAAGGUUGCAGAAAGUGAGAUAACCCUUUCCACUCAAGCAGUGAAAAACAACAUCUGUUAAAAAACAAAUAAACUGGUGUAAUGGCUUCAGCGAGAGACCCAGAGGAUUUUAGAGAUGCAGCUCUUGUUUGGGUCGACACAUUGUGAAAAGCAAAUUACAAGAGAACAAUUGUUCCAUACCAAGCUCUCCCACCCCUGAACUCCCUCAAGGUUAAUUAGGAUGGCCUUUGGCCAAAUUAAUUAGAAGAUCUGGA